AACGAACGCUGGCGGCAUGCCUAAUACAUGCAAGUCGAACGAGAUCUUCGGAUCUAGUGGCGCACGGGUGCGUAACGCGUGGGAAUCUGCCCUUGGGUUCGGAAUAACUUCUGGAAACGGAAGCUAAUACCGGAUGAUGACGUAAGUCCAAAGAUUUAUCGCCCAAGGAUGAGCCCGCGUAGGAUUAGCUAGUUGGUGGGGUAAAAGCCCACCAAGGCGACGAUCCUUAGCUGGUCUGAGAGGAUGAUCAGCCACACUGGGACUGAGACACGGCCCAGACUCCUACGGGAGGCAGCAGUAGGGAAUAUUGGACAAUGGGCGAAAGCCUGAUCCAGCAAUGCCGCGUGAGUGAUGAAGGCCUUAGGGUUGUAAAGCUCUUUUACCCGGGAUGAUAAUGACAGUACCGGGAGAAUAAGCUCCGGCUAACUCCGUG
rnacentral:rRNA from 1 species